UACGAAGGGGGCUAGCGUUGCUCGGAAUUACUGGGCGUAAAGCGCACGUAGGCGGCUUUCUAAGUCGGGGGUGAAAUCCUGGAGCUCAACUCCAGAACUGCCUUCGAUACUGGAAAGCUCGAGUCCGGGAGAGGUGAGUGGAACUGCGAGUGUAGAGGUGAAAUUCGUAGAUAUUCGCAAGAACACCAGUGGCGAAGGCGGCUCACUGGCCCGGUACUGACGCUGAGGUGCGAAAGCGCGGGGAGCAAACAGG
rnacentral:rRNA from 1 species